rnacentral:rRNA from 1 species
UGGGGAAUAUUGCACAAUGGGGGAAACCCUGAUGCAGCAACGCCGCGUGAGUGAUGACGGCUUCGGGUUGUAAAGCUCUGUCUUCAGGGACGAUAAUGACGGUACCUGAGGGACGGAAGCCACGGCUAACUACGUCGCC